rnacentral:rRNA from 1 species
AGCCCCGGCUAACUUCGUGCCAGCAGCCGCGGUAAUACGUAGGGCGCGAGCGUUAUCCGGAAUUAUUGGGCGUAAAGAGCUUGUAGGCGGUUUGUCGCGUCUGCCGUGAAAGCCCGGGGCUUAACCCCGGGUGUGCAGUGGGUACGGGCAGACUAGAGUGCAGUAGGGGAGACUGGAAUUCCUGGUGUAGCGGUGAAAUGCGCAGAUAUCAGGAGGAACACCGAUGGCGAAGGCAGGUCUCUGGGCUGUUACUGACGCUGAGAAGCGAAAGCAUGGGGAGCGAACAGGAUUAGAUACCCUGGUAGUCCAUGCCGUAAACGUUGGGCACUAGGUGUGGGGGACAUUCCACGUUUUCCGCGCCGUAGCUAACGCAUUAAGUGCCCCGCCUGGGGAGUACGGCCGCAAGGCUAAAACUCAAAGGAAUUGACGGGGGCCCGCACAAGCGGCGGAGCAUGCGGAUUAAUUCGAUGCAACGCGAAGAACCUUACCAAGGCUUGACAUGGACCGGACCGCUGCAGAGAUGUAGCUUCCCUUCGGGGCUGGUUCACAGGUGGUGCAU